CGGGAUGUAGCUCAGUUUGGCUAGAGUACUUGCUUGGGGUGCAAGGGGUCGCACGUUCAAAUCGUGUCAUUCCGACCA
rnacentral:tRNA from 2 species